GAUAAACGCUAGCGGCAGGCUUAACACAUGCAAGUCGAGGGGCAGCAUAGAUUGUAGCAAUACAAUUGGUGGCGACCGGCGCACGGGUGCGUAACGCGUAUGCAACCUACCCGUCACAGGGGGAUAAUCCGGAGAAAUCUGGUCUAAUACCCCAUAACAUAUGGAUCGGAAUCGGAUCAUGUUGAAAUUUUCGGAGGUGACGGAUGGGCAUGCGUAGCAUUAGCUUGUUGGUGAGGUAACGGCUCACCAAGGCGACGAUGCUUAGGGGGACUGAGAGGUCUUCCCCCCACACUGGUACUGAGACACGGACCAGACUCCUACGGGAGGCAGCAGUGAGGAAUAUUGGUCAAUGGGCGCAAGCCUGAACCAGCCAUGCCGCGUGCAGGAUGACGGCUCUAUGAGUUGUAAACUGCUUUUGUACGAGGGUAAAGUGGGUUACGUGUAACCUUUUGAAAGUAUCGUACGAAUAAGGAUCGGCUAACUCCGUGCCAGCCGCCGCGGUAA
rnacentral:rRNA from 1 species